rnacentral:rRNA from 1 species
UGCCAGCCGCCGCGGUAAUACGGAGGGUGCGAGCGUUAAUCGGAAUCACUGGGCGUAAAGCGUGCGUAGGCGGCGCAGCAAGUCAGACGUGAAAGCCCUCGGCUCAACCGAGGAAUUGCGUUUGAAACUGCUGUGCUUGAGUCGCGGAGAGGUUGGCGGAAUUCCAGGUGUAGGAGUGAAAUCCGUAGAUAUCUGGAGGAACACCGGUGGCGAAGGCGGCCAACUGGAACAUUAUUGACGCUGAGACGCGAAAGCGUGGGGAGCAAACAGGAUAAGAUA